rnacentral:rRNA from 1 species
GACGAACGCUGGCGGCGUGCUUAACACAUGCAAGUCGAACGGAAAGGCCCGGUUUUUGUGGGGUGCUCGAGUGCCGAAAAGGUGAGUGUCACGCGAGUAACCUGCCCCUGUCUUUGGGGGACCUCAUGGAAACAGGAGCGCUAAUCGCGUAUAAGCUCUUUCUGCACAGGGGGGAUGGGAGAAAUUCGCCGGUGGGGGAUGGACUGGUGGCUCCUCGUCGUGUUGGUGGGGUGGUGACUUACAAAGGCUUUGACGGGUAGCCGGCCUGAGAGGGUGACCGGCCACAUGGGGACGGAGAUACGGCCCAGACUCCUACGGGAGGAAGCAGUGGGGAAUAUUGCACAAUGGGCGGAAGCCGGAUGCAGCAACGCCGCGGGCGGGAUGACGGCCUUCGGGUGGUAAACCGCUUCGCCUGUGACGAAGCGUGAGUGACGGUAAUGGGUAAAGAAGCACCGGCUAACUACGUG